rnacentral:snRNA from 1 species
GUGCUUGCUUUGGCAGCACGAUUAUAAAGAUUAGCAUGGCCUUGUGCAAGGAUGACACACAAAUUCAUGAAGCGUUCCAUAUUAAA